CGUUCCAUGAUUGGCCAGUAUGCAUCACCAGCCUUUAUUUCACAUAGACUAAUGAGAUCCCGCCAAGCAGCGGAGUAUGUUUUACGGACCUGAGCCAUCCUACGGAAAAAGGGCAUGGGGUGUUUUUCAGGAUCAGGGAGUGAGGUCACAAGGGUAGCAGCUUGGGAAGGGUUAAAGGUAACAUACAUAGGUGGAGCACCAUCCGCACCAUGGUUGAUUGGGG